ACUUGAUGACCCUGGAUGCAAAGAGUUAACAGAGAUGCAUGAACAUGUAUUAGAAAAAUGAUUCACACGCAAUAGAAAAAUUAAGUAAGACCAGGAUUGGGUGGCUUUGGAGAACGUAAUUUCAACUUGAACGUGAAGAUGCUUGUAGAACAGUGUUCCUUCCUCUGAACAUGGCUACAGAAGAACAAAUCACUUAGUCUGAAGAUGAAAACAAGAAGCUGAUGGAAGACACAUUCUGAACUAGCUAACACAACACUCUGAAACUGGAGGAUAUCAACUGAUAAGAUAUGAAGUUCUCCCUUAGUUUCAAAUACACUGGGUUCAUAAAUUAUUAACAUAAACAAUGGAUGUCCCGUCAAGCUACCAUGAAGAUAGCUAGGUCUGCACAACUCCUCAAGUGUCGACCCCUCCAAGCACAUCCUCCACCUGGAACUGUGAA
rnacentral:lncRNA from 1 species